rnacentral:lncRNA from 1 species
UUCCAAAAGCAAUAGUUCGGAUUGGUGACAUCUAUGGCCGAUUGAAAAUUUUUCACCAAAGUUAAAGCACAGACCUUGUGCUCGUCGGUGUUGCAUUUCCUCCUAUGAUAACUGCUUUGGAGCAGCAACUGUCACUGCCAGGGCUUGUAGAGGCUGAUCGAAUAGGAAGGAUGCCUGCUUGUCAGGUUGAGUUUACCUCGCAUAGUUCAACCUACUUUGAUGGUCCAAUUGCUCCUCUCGCAUGCAGGCCAGACCGAUGGUUUCCUUCAAAGUCUUGGGCCUAAACAUUCAAAUCUCGUCCAUGAGUUCAAGCUCUAGCUCACUAAUGAAGGCCUUAGUUAGUAACUUUUGGGUCCAUCCAUGGACUCGGUUGCCCAAGCGCUCAAUCUCUUUGGUAAUAACGUAAUGGGUCAGUUUGCUUGAUGCGGGACAGGGCUUUGUUAAAGUCUUUAUAUUCUUUUGACCCAAACCUAGCCCACAAUACUUCUUCAAUUAUGGCCCAACUUAUCUCGCAACCCUCUUCACGGAAGGUCUUGCUCAGCCACUACCACCAACAAUUGGCUUCUCUUUCAAGGUG